CGCGUAGGUGGUUUGUUAAGUUGGAUGUGAAAUCCCCGGGCUCAACCUGGGAACUGCAUCCAAAACUGGCAAGCUAGAGUUCUGUAGAGGGGGGUAGAAUUCCAGGUGUAGCGGUGAAAUGCGUAGAGAUCUGGAGGAAUACCGAUUGCGAAGGCAGCCCCCUGGACAGUGACUGACGCUCAUAUGCGAAAGCGUGGGGAUCAAACAGGAUUAGAUACCCUAGUA
rnacentral:rRNA from 1 species